rnacentral:rRNA from 1 species
AUGGAGAUGGAGACGGAGACGGAGAUGGAGAGGGAGUCCAGGAAAAGGCCUAGGGUAGCGGCGGCGGCGGCGGAGGACCCCUCUCUGGCGGCGGCGGCGUCGGCCGAGUACGCGGCGUGGUUGGAAGAAAUGGCGGUGCAUGAGGCGAAGGCGGCUGAAUUCCGCAAGAACCUGCUGGCGAAUCCUUUGACGGCCGAGCAGUUGCGAGAGCGCAAGGAAGCCGCGUGGGAAAAGUACAACAACGAGUCGUGGGAGAGGGCUCGCGACAACUGGAUCUGGCCUCCCUUCGAAGCCGACACGGACAUCUCUUGCAUGCGCUUUACCAACGAAAAUAUCAACGACCCUAAUUAUCCACGCCUUGUCUGCACCAUGGCAACUCUGCAGAUUGUUUCAGUCCAGGUGAAGGAAAUAACCGAUGGGUUACAUUGGCCGCUGGAUGUUUAUGGUUUUGUCGCUGUGCGUGAUGUGGUGGAUCGCAAACGCAUUAUGGUUUUCAACCGUGAAAGGGAUGACUACCAAAGAAUCACCGAGCAGGAUUCCUACCUAACACUGACUGGUCCUACCCGUGGUGUUGUCAUGACGAUUGAUCCUUCAUAUUUGGAGGCUAAGCUCAAAGUAAGAGGUGCUACUGAAUCUGAGGACAAAGAUUUGAGCAAAUUUGCUAAGACGUACAGCUUAGGCUGCUACCUUCCUAUCAAGCACACAAGCAAGCUUUGCACACUGGAGCUGCAGCAUUACACUGUUUGUUCAUCUGUGGAAGCCACAAUCCGUGUUCAAAUCAUUGAAGGGCAGUUUCCUCGUGAUUUCCGUGGUGUGCUUACUGCUAGCACGGACGCUGAAAGUGGUGUGAUGAUCUCAUUACUGGAUUUUAAUAAUGAUGAGUUGCCAGUUGAUGCUGAUGGCUCUGUGAAGCUAUCACGCCAAGUUAUCUCUGUUAAAAAAGGGGGGAAUCUGAAAGUUUCUGUCUGGCAACGGGGUGUUGGUGAGGAAGAAGAUCAAGAGAUAACUGCUGCAUCAUUUGUAGCUAAGGAAGCUGAAACAAGCACUAAUUACAUGCCGAUGAAGAAAUGGAAGUGCUGGAUGGAAGUCAGUGUCGCCUGGUCCCUUUUCAGCUGUUGUUUAUUUGCUUGA